rnacentral:rRNA from 1 species
GAUGAACGCUGGCGGCGUGCCUAAUACAUGCAAGUCGAGCGAACAGACGAGGAGCUUGCUCCUCUGACGUUAGCGGCGGACGGGUGAGUAACACGUGGAUAACCUACCUAUAAGACUGGGAUAACUUCGGGAAACCGGAGCUAAUACCGGAUAAUAUAUUGAACCGCAUGGUUCAAUAGUGAGAGACGGUUUUGCUGUCACUUAUAGCUGGAUCCGCGCCGCAUUAGCUAGUUGGUAAGUUAACGGCUUACCAAGGCAACGAUGCGUAGCCGACCUGAGAGGGUGGUCGGCCACACUAGAACUGAGACACGGUCCAGACUCCUACGGGAGGCAGCAGUAGGGAAUCUUCCGCAAUGGGCGAAAGCUUGACGGAGCAACGCCGCGUGAGUGAUGAAGGUCUUCGGAUCGUAAAACUCUGUUAUUAGGGAAGAACAAAUGUGUAAGUAACUAUGCACGUCUUGACGGUACCUAAUCAGAAAGCCACGGCUAACUACGUG